CAGUUUUCUCAGUCUCAGGCAUUUCAUUAUAGUAACAGAAAACAAACUAAGACUGAAUGUGAAACCAGCAAGCCCUUGCUUCCCAUCCAACUUCCUUUCCUCACUUCAGUCCUGAUUUCCAUGUUCCUUGAUGCUCACCAAUUCCAUUCUGUCACCACAGCUUGGGCAUCACAGGGAAAGAGGACCAGGUGCAGAAUGAGCAUGAGACUAGCAGCAGUGAAGUCAGAGGGCGACAGUGGUCAUCCUCCCCAUCAUGCCCAUCAGUUUCUCCCUGUAAUGCUGAAUGCUACAACUGCAUUGCCAGCAAGUAACACAACUGGCUGCAGAAAACUUAGCCACUUUUUUUUUUUUUAUAAUAUGUGCCAUGAAGAAAUCCACCUGGUAUGUAAUCACACAGUUGUUGUAAACCACCUUACUGUGAAUGGUUAGGUAUACCUCUGACCCCUGGGAGCAAUUUAACUUUACAAGACAGGGGGCAGUGUGUGUGUGAAUAUAUCCAUUCCCCAUCACAACACAGGAAAGUAGAGAUGCACGUGGAAAAGGGACUGAUUUCUCACUGGCCCAAGUUACCCACUCUCCCACCUCCAUGGAGUCUUCCAGAAAGCUCACAGAAAUUUUAGAAUUUUUGAGCUCCCCACAAGAGGUUCCUGAGAUGAGCCCUCACCCCUCACACCUCCUCAUAGCUCUCAAUUCUACUCUAGACUCCCACUAAAUAUGGGAUGAGAUUUUUAUGCCACAGUGGAGAAGAGAGAAGCACCACUCCACAGUUUGAUACCAACAGAUACUCUGAAAUUUUUCUAAUUCCAUGCAACAGGCACAGCUGAGGGAGCUCCCUAGUUCUCUGGCACAGCACACCAUUCUGGAUCAAAUGCAGUAAACCAAAGACAUAUCUGCUGU
rnacentral:lncRNA from 1 species